rnacentral:rRNA from 1 species
AGUCGAGGGGCAGCAUGAACUUAGCUUGCUAAGUUUGAUGGCGACCGGCGCACGGGUGAGUAACACGUAUCCAACCUGCCGAUGACUCGGGGAUAGCCUUUCGAAAGAAAGAUUAAUACCCGAUGGCAUAGUUCUUCCGCAUGGUAGGACUAUUAAAGAAUUUCGGUCAUCGAUGGGGAUGCGUUCCAUUAGCUUGUUGGCGGGGUAACGGCCCACCAAGGCAUCGAUGGAUAGGGGUUCUGAGAGGAAGGUCCCCCACAUUGGAACUGAGACACGGUCCAAACUCCUACGGGAGGCAGCAGUGAGGAAUAUUGGUCAAUGGGCGCUAGCCUGAACCAGCCAAGUAGCGUGAAGGAUGACUGCCCUAUGGGUUGUAAACUUCUUUUAUAUGGGAAUAAAGUGCAGUAUGUAUACUGCUUUGCAUGUACCUUAUGAAUAAGGAUCGGCUAACUCCGUGCCAGCAGCCGCGGUAAUACGUAGGGGGCAAGCGUUAUCCGGAAUUACUGGGUGUAAAGGGAGCGUAGACGGUUAAGUAAGUCUGGAGUGAAAGGCCGGGGCCCAACCCCGGGACUGCUCUGGAAACUAUUGAACUUGAGUGCAGGAGAGGUAAGCGGAAUUCCUAGUGUAGCGGUGAAAUGCGUAGAUAUUAGGAGGAACACCAGUGGCGAAGGCGGCCUGCUGGACGAUGACUGACGUUGAGGCUCGAAAGCGUGGGGAGC